UGAAUGAAACAAGACAUCAAGCAUAAAUUCUAUAUGAUUCUAUUUACAUGGAAUUUAAGAACAGGCAAAACUAAUAGGUUAGCUUUCAGGGGCAAGUAUUGACUGGGAAGGGCACAUGGAGCCUUCUGGUAUACUGCAAAUAUUUUCCAUCUCAAUCUGGGCAGUAGUUAAAUGGUUAUAUGUCUAUGUAAAAAUUCAUCAAGCUGUAUACAUAAGAGUCUUAAGAUUUGUGCACUUUAUUAUUUGUAGACUAUAUCUACUAGAAGAGAAAAAAAAAAGUCUUGAGAAGAGACAUAAGCAUUUUGGGGUCAGCCUCACCUUUCCAUCUGCCUUUUCCAACAAAGGGAUGGAGACGGAGGCCAAAUGAGCACCAUCCAAGUCAGCUCCUUCUGAAACAGAGACAAAAAUAACUACAUCUCAAGUAUAAGAACAUACUUUCCCCUUUUUUUUUUUGGGAAAGGCACAGGCUUUUUUCACAUUACCAGCCAGAGGGAAUCUUUCUCAAACUUUCCAUAGAGAUUCUCCCUUGAGCAGGCACCAAACAUGGACAUUUUCUACCAGAGAAAAACAUGCUGGGGAGUUAUAAGCCUCUGGAACGAAAGCGUUGGGAAGGAAAUGAUGUAGAUCCCCCUCCCUCACCUGGGCUCCUCCCAGUCCUCCUGGAGCCAUGUUCCAGUGGCUAUAUGUUGUCAUCAGGAGAGUGCUAAUCAGAGGGACUGCAAGGAUGGAAGACAAGGGCAGGAGAGUGGACUGGGUCAGACAGUUGCCAGGGUCCAGUCCACACUGAGCACUGGGCCUUUCCCAUCUGGUGGGAAGAAAGGUUUUGAUUCUUCAUCCCUCAUACAAAUGGAAGGAAGUCACAGACAGCUUAAAAAAAAAAAGGUGUUUAAAGCAAUGUAUACAUUGUGGACAGUGAACGAAGCAUCUCAAUUCUGUGUGGGUCUGUCCAUAUAAAGAUGAAGGAGCCUCAUUUUCCAGCUGCACUGCCUCCCUCCUCUCUCCUAGCUCCUCUUUCCUCCUGUCAUCUCUUUGUCCAGCUUCUUCAUUUUCCUUCUCAUCAUCUGAAAGCCUUAAGAACAAAUUUUUAGGAAGUACCUGUGUAGGGCAGGGUACUUGACAACUUUACCAGGAAGGUGUUAUUUUUCAGGUGAGGACACCAGCUUUAGGGGAGUGAAGUGAUUAGCUUGAGGUCAUGCACCUAAGAGAUGUCAGAGCCAGGGUUUGCAUCUAGGCUGGUGAGACUCUGUGUGGGCUCUGUCAUGGGGUUCAGUUGCCUUAAGUCUCCUUUUCUUGAGAAAGACAUUGCUGGAUUGUUAUAUCCUAUCCUGUCUCUCAAGAUAAGCAACAUUUUAGUAAAAGAUAUUAUUUUAUUUUAUUUGCUUUUUAGGGCCGUACCCAAGGCAUAUGGAAGUUCCCGGGCUAGGGGUCAAAUCGGAGCUACAGCUGCUGGCCUAUGCCACAGCCACAGCAACUGUGGGAUCCAAGGCGCAUCUGCAACCUACGCCACAGCUCAUGGCAAUGCCGGAUCCCUGACCCACUGAGUGAGGCCAGGGAUCAAACUUGCACCUCAUGGAUUCUAUUUGGAUUCGUUUCCACUACGCCACAAAGGGAACACCCUGAAAUACUUUUAAAAAUGAAAAUUAAUACAAAAUCUGUGAUGAAAAAUGUAAAUCUUUUGAAUAAAGACAGGAUCAGUGUUAGCAGUUUUUCAUUUUGCUUGGGCUCUAAUGUGACACCAUGUUGACUUAUUCCUCGGGUCCUUAUUUGGGCCCAUUGCUCUCCUUUGCCCAUGUUCUUGUCCCUUGCUCCUUCCGAUGGAUAAUAUUGUAUGCCCCCACCUUUCAUCUCAGUGUGAGUAACUCCAAAUUCUACUUUCUCCCAGGGCUCAAGGAGGAGAAGCCUUUUGUUUCUUCAAGCUUCUGUUCACUUCAGGAGUUUGGGGUACAUGUCUUGUGUUUCCACUGACCUUUUGGAAAGCUCCGCCUGAACUCUGGUGACCUAAAGUCAACUUUUCCUCAACUAAGCUCACCCUUCCUCCCAUCCUGUCCUCAGGUCUGCUCCUGUCAAUGUCAGCAGCAGCCUUCUAGUCACCCGGCUCUCCCCUCAUUCCUAUUUCCAACAGCCAAUCUGCUGCCCACCCUUGUUUAUUAUCAAGUACCUCCUACAACUGCCCUUUCUUAUCCAAAAGCCCAGACAGACUAUGCCUGAACUGGCACUUGCUUGGGGUGGGAAGGCACAGAAGCAAGAACUUAAGCAUAAUCAUUUGUCUGAGGACCAGAGCUGUAGUGAGGGGCGUAGAAAGGGAUGGGCUUACUUAGAUCUGUGCAGACAGGGCAAGCAGAGGUUGGAGAAAGAACUAAGCACCACGUUGUUGAAAUAUCUUCUCAAUCUUUGAUUCCGUAAGGGAACAUAUAGGAUGUUCCAUGCUAUCUUCACUUGCUACAUGCUAGGGAGACAAAGAUUGAAAAUCAUUUCAGUUCUUGAGAAGCUCACAAUCUGGUGGGAAAGACAGACCCACAAAUAAACCCCACAGGAGCAUGCAGUUUGGGGUAACUGAGGAGGAAGUCACCAACUGAAGAUGAAAAGAUGGGCUAGGAAAGUUGCCCAGAGGAAAAGAUACUGAGCUGAACUUCAGUGUUGAAUGAAGGAGAUGAUUGAUGUCACUGGUGAUGAUGUUAGUCAUUAUGAAGAAGAUAGUGAAAAUCACCAAGGUGAUAAUUAUGCACAGGGAGACUCCAUCAAAAAGAUGGAGGUGAUAGGGCUGAGGAACGCAAACCACCUUGGUACCUCUGAUGUAAUGGAUUGGGCAGUGAUCCCAAACCAGUCCAGGAGGCCACACUGUGACUUCAGGUGUCUUUUCAUAGUCAUGGCUUAUGAUUCAAGAUAUAGUGUACCAGGAGUUCCCCUUGUGGCUCAGCAGUAAUGAACCCGACUAGUAUCCAUGAGGACAUGGGUUCAAUCCCUGGCCCUGCUCAGUGUGUUAAGGAUCCAGCAUUGCUGUGAGCUGUGGUGUAGGGUCGAAGAUUCGGCUGGGAUCUGUUGUUGCUGUGGCUGUGGCAGGCACAUCUGCUCUGUGUCCAGAGAGCUUGUGGAAGAUUAAAAAAGGAGCUGUACUUCCUAUGCCCUUCCAGUUCUAGAAUCACUGACCUUGGUAACUGGUAACUCUAGAGGGGCUUUCUCUCUCCCAAUUGGUCUGUCACAUGCUUGAAGUCUCCCGAUUAACACAUCAUUUCCUUAGCUUGUCUUGCAUCUCCAGAUGCAAGAGUUGGAAGGAUAUAUUAAGGCAUUAUUACUCCCAAACACCCCAGCAUAAGAGUUUAACAGCUUAUUGUCUCCUGGGUCACUGUAUUUUAAUACAAUGAAGGAAAACCAGCUUAAGAGUCUGGACCAUUUCUCAAUGAACAGGAUUGGGUGAGGAUGUGUUACAGAAGGGUUGGUAGCUUUGGGACCCCCAAAGCUUGAGGAUGAAGUCUGCAGGUGAUGGGAUCUGAGGAAGCCACUCUAGGACUCCCUGUUGCUAAUUAGAGUUGACCCUGGGAUAUAACUUCCUGAAGUAUUGAUCCAAAAUUACCCUCCUAGAACUUUGGUUGUUAUUACACCAUUGCCUGGGCCUCUUGCCUUCCACUACCACCUCCUCACCCGCUACCAGUUCCUCCCUGGGUACCUUGCUAAUAAGCUGUGUCCACAAGGGUUCUUAUCUCAGGAAAGUCUCAUCAUAAGGCAAUGGCUCUAACUCAUUCUCCUUUUUCUGGCUUCCUUCAGUCCAAAUCAUUUGGGUACCUGGCCCAUACUGUUUGGGCCAUGUCUAUGAGCCUUGCCUUCCUGGUUUUAGUGUAAGUUCUCUUGUCUCCCCUGGUUUGCCUGGCAGGCACUGGGACAUCCCUAGCACCACCCUUUGUCAGAGGUGGAAGGUCCAGGGGGUCUUUGAGACCAAAAGAGGAAACAGAGGCCCAGAAAAGCUAAAGGGCUUGUUGACUAAAUGAUACUUUCUCUUCUUCUCCCAACUGAGAUGUACAGGGAGACAUUUUGUCCCCGUGAUGAUCUGUUCUUGGUUUAUUGAGAUGAUGAUGAUGAUGAUGAUGGCUCUUGCUAUGUGGUUUCUUGAGGAGUCCCAGGCCUUUGGCGUGUGUAAUUAGGAAACUUCCCAAAGCCUUUCUAAGAGAGAGACCCUAUGUCCUGCAUUUCAGGCAAACUGCCUUCGGCUUAGAGAUAUAGAGUAGUGGGGAAGUCGAAGGGUAGCAAAGUGAAAGGAGAAUCACAGAAGGGUUUGGAGUGGGGUUCAGUGGACACUUGAGCACUUUAUCCCAGCCUUGGGUUGAGGAGGGGGCAGAGAAUGCCUUAAUGAUCAACUAAAGCCUUAGUUGAACGUUGAAGGCAAACAGGAGUUUCCAAGGUAGGGAGAUAGGCAAUUCCCUUCACAUUCAGUGUACAACCAACAUCUGAUAUAAAGAUGAUACUUUUUUAUUUGGAAAGACAUUUUUUUCAUAGAGGUAUAGGAACAGAGUUUGGAGUCAAAUGGGAUUUAAAUCUUGGUUCCAUCACUUUCUUUGCGACUCUGAGCAAGUCCAUUAUACUUUCCAAACCUCAAUACCGUCAUCUGUAAGUUAUGACAAUGAGUCCCACUUCACUGGAUGAUCAUCAAACUCAAAUGAGGCAAAUUAAUUCUUGAUGUGUAUGUGCAGAACCCUUGAGAAAUGGUUGUUGUGGUGUUCACAUAGAGAACUUUUAACUUUCAUCAUUACCAUAUGAAUAUUGAUUAUUCUCUCACUGUGUUCAAGUGUUGAAUGAACCUCAUCUUGUCUUGUGCAUCCUCAUUUAAGAGGACAGGAGAUAACACUGUCCAGAACUAGAAACUCUGAGAGGGUAAGGGACCUGCCCAUUCCUAUCUUAGGUUGAGUUCUCCAAGAAGCAGGCAUUCAGGUGAAGAUAGGAGUGUAAGCACUUUACUUGGGUGGUGAUCCCAGCAAACACUGGCUGGAGAGCAGGAAGUAAGGCAGGCAAGGGAAGUCAGUCCGUGGAGGAUGUGUGUUCAAUCCAUUUACCACCGUAGGCAGCUGGAGCUCUCUCCCACCAGGAGUGCAGUGUAAAGUAAACAUCUCAGGAUAGAAAGCCCAGAAUUAAACCCACACACCUACAGUCAACUAAUUUAUGACAAAGGAGGCAAGAAUAUACAAAGGAGAAAAGACAGCUCCUUCAAUAAGUGGUUAUGGGAAAAGUGGACAGCCACAUGUAAAAGAAUGAAAUUAAACACCUCAUAACACCAUGCACAAAAAUAAACUCAAAAUGGAAUAAGGACCUAAAUAUAAGACCAAAUACUAUAAAACUCUUAGAGGAAAACAUAGGCCAAACAAUCUCCGACAUAAACCACAGCAAUAUCUUCUCAGAUCCACUUCCUAGAGUAAUGACAAUAAAAGCAAAAAUAAACAAAUGGACUUAAUUAAACUUAAAAGUUUCUGCAUAGCAAAGGAAACCCUAAUCAUAACGAAAAGACAACCCACAGAAUGGGAGAAAAUAUUUGCAAAUGAAGCAACUGACAAGGGACUAAUCUCCAAAAUUUAUAAACACAUCCUGCAGCACAAUACCAAAAAACAAACAAACAAACAAACAACCCCAUCAAAAAAGUGGGCAAAAGACAAUUCUCUAAGGAAAACAUACAGAUGG
rnacentral:lncRNA from 1 species